rnacentral:rRNA from 2 species
AUGCAUGUCUAAGUAUAAGCAAUUAUACAGCGAAACUGCGAAUGGCUCAUUAUAUAAGUUAUCGUUUAUUUGAUAGUACCUUACUACUUGGAUAACCGUGGUAAUUCUAGAGCUAAUACAUGCUAAAAAUCCCGACUUCGGAAGGGAUGUAUUUAUUAGAUUAAAAACCAAUGCCCUCUGGGCUCUCUGGUGAUUCAUGAUAACUUCUCGAAUCGCAUGGCCUUGCGCCGGCGAUGGUUCAUUCAAAUUUCUUCCCUAUCAACUUUCGAUGUUUGGGUAGUGGCCAAACAUGGUUGCAACGGGUAACGGAGGGUUAGGGCUCGACCCCGGAGAAGGAGCCUGAGAAACGGCUACUACAUCCAAGGAAGGCAGCAGGCGCGCAAAUUACCCAAUCCCGACACGGGGAGGUAGUGACAAUAAAUACUGAUACAGGGCUCUUUUGGGUCUUGUAAUUGGAAUGAGUACAAUUUAAAUCCCUUAACGAGGAACAAUUGGAGGGCAAGUCUGGUGCCAGCAGCCGCGGUAAUUCCAGCUCCAAUAGCGUAUAUUAAAGUUGUUGUGGUUAAAAAGCUCGUAAUUGAACCUUGGGCCUGGCUGGCCGGUCCGCCUCACCGCGUGUACUGGUCCGGCCGGGCCUUUCCCUCUGUGGAACCCCAUGCCCUUCACUGGGUGUGGCGGGGAAACAGGACUUUUACUUUGAAAAAAUUAGAGUGCUCCAGGCAGGCCUAUGCUCGAAUACAUUAGCAUGGAAUAAUGAAAUAGGACGUGCGGUUCUAUUUUGUUGGUUUCUAGGACCGCCGUAAUGAUUAAUAGGGACAGUCGGGGGCAUCAGUAUUCAAUUGUCAGAGGUGAAAUUCUUGGAUUUAUUGAAGACUAACUACUGCGAAAGCAUUUGCCAAGGAUGUUUUCAUUAAUCAGGAACGAAAGUUAGGGGAUCGAAGACGAUCAGAUACCGUCGUAGUCUUAACCAUAAACUAUG